rnacentral:rRNA from 1 species
GACGAACGCUGGCGGCGUGCUUAACACAUGCAAGUCGAACGGUGAAGGAAGAGCUUGCUCUUCCGGAUCAGUGGCGAACGGGUGAGUAACACGUGGGCAACCUGCCCCUGACUCUGGGAUAACUCCUCGAAAGAGGUGCUAAUACCGGGUACGACCACUUCGGACAUCCGAUGGUGGUGGAAAGUUUUCGGUCAGGGAUGGGCCCGCGGCCUAUCAGCUAGUUGGUGGGGUAAUGGCCUACCAAGGCGACGACGGGUAGCCGGCCUGAGAGGGCGACCGGCCACACUGGGACUGAGACACGGCCCAGACUCCUACGGGAGGCAGCAGUGGGGAAUAUUGCGCAAUGGGCGAAAGCCUGACGCAGCGACGCCGCGUGAGGGAUGAAGGCCUUCGGGUUGGUUAAACCUACUUUCUAGCAGGGACGAAGCGAAAGUAGACGGUACCUGCAGAAGAAGCACCGGCUAACUACGUGCCAGCAG